GUGCUCACUUCAGCAGUACAUAUACUAAAAUUGGAACAAUCCAGACAAGAUUAGCAUGGCCCCUGUGCAAGGAUGACAUGAAAAUUAGUGAAGUGUUCCGUUAUUUU
ensembl:snRNA U6 U6 spliceosomal RNA